rfam:Capsicum annuum cultivar Zunla-1 chromosome 6, whole genome shotgun sequence
UGAUAAUGGUGAGGAAAAUUCCAGAGCAUAGCCUUGAAUCUUUCCUAAGCAUGGUAAAGAUUCUCUUUAUUUUUAUGCCUGAAACUCAGAAUCUCACUUCUCAAAUA